GUGUUGUAUGAAAGGAGAGAAGGUUAGCACUCCCCUUGACAAGGAUGGAAGAGGCCCUCGGGCCUGACAACAUAUGCUCUGGUUAAGGCAUUGCCACCUACCGUGGCAUCUAACCAUCGUUUGGC
rnacentral:ncRNA from 1 species